rnacentral:rRNA from 1 species
UACGUAGGGGGCAAGCGUUGUCCGGAAUCAUUGGGCGUAAAGCGCGCGUAGGCGGCCCGGUAAGUCCGCUGUGAAAGCCAGGGGCUCAACCCUUGGAUGCCGGUGGAUACUGUCGGGCUCGAGUACGGAAGAGGCGAGUGGAAUUCCUGGUGUAGCGGUGAAAUGCGCAGAUAUCAGGAGGAACACCAAUUGCGAAGGCAGCUCGCUGGGACGUUACUGACGCUGAGACGCGAAAGCGUGGGGAGCAAACAGG